UGACCCCAUGCCUUGGAGACGGCGACCCUCAACCCCUUGCUGCUGUGGUGCACUGGGCACAUCUGUGACGAGGAGGAGGCGAGCCACAAUUCAUCACCUUCCUCGUCUCUCUCAUGGCUGUGCACAAGGAUGUCCGCACCCCGAGCCGAGCUCUGUUUGACCGGAGGACAAGCAGAGGAAAGGCGAACAGGGGUGAUGACAUGGCUCCUGAGCAAGGUGAACAUCGCCUUUAAGGCGAGCGGUGGCGGUAUCUCCCUUACAACCGCACUUCAUUUCUUACAUUGUUUGCUCCUCUUAUCAAGGGCACAUCGGUCAGAUGCAUCCUUGAAAAAAGGGUACAUUGAUCAAGUUGUUUCCUGAUGUUUGCACUCGCUGCUUUAUAGCGUAUUUUUUUCAUAUGAUUUUGGAUAUUUUGUUUCCGUACUGUACCUUAGUUUGGAAUUUAUUUUGUAGGCACCUUAUCUUGGGCCCCUACAAUAAGUAAACUCAACAUGCGUGAUUCUGAUUAGAGGCAACCGGAUCGUUAUUGAACAUAUUGAUGAUUCCUGCUGUGUAUUCUCAAGGAAUGGUCAGGUUUAGUACUGUAACUAUUUUCUUAUCAAAUAUAUUUGGGUGGUGCUCAAAAUGCAGAGCUGAAAAGCAAGAAACGUAAAGCCACCUCUGAAGAUAAGUUCACCAUGCCUCCCAGAGUGUCACCCCGCUUCGUUGAACUUAAUGGAAUAAGAUCAGAUCAGAAUAACCUUUGUAAACUAGGCAACUGAAUCAUUUCAUUGUUGCUUGUCCAUGUAACGAAGAACUAUCAUUUGGGUACCAAGUUCCACUUCAGGCCAGGAAAAUUUCUUAUAACUUCAAAACGGCAAGGGAUGCACCAUUGUCUUCAGGUCUGCCUUGCAGGUUGGAGUGCAGCUUUCAGAUAUCUUUCUUUCCUUGGGAUAGUUGGAAUGGAAUACUAUGACUAGAUAUACAAUGGUAUUGUUAUCAGUGUUCGGCCUUCAAUGAUUUCGGUGCAGCAUGUCUAGACCAUCAACGGCAAUUUGAGCUCCUUAGUGAAGUAGGUGCUUACAUCAAUCUCGUGCAUAGUCUCGAUCACCACCACCGGGGCAGCUACUUCUGCUGGCAGGGGCUGGGCGCUGCCGUGAGGAUGCUAUCACCCAUGCGCGCAGUGAUGGCAUGGUGGCCGAAGAAGGCCGUCUUCUGGGGAGCCGCGCGCUGGCCGCCAUCUCCACCCGCGGCCACACCAAUAAGACAGGUGAUUUUAGGGUUGGUUCUGUCUAAAACCAAGCUGGCAGGUGAGCCAAAUCAAUCAUUUCACGGUUCUUAAACAGUACAUAACAUAAUGCUAAUUGUGUGUUUUUCAGUAAUAUGCAGAGAAGGUUCGCCUGACAUAAUGACCAACGAGAGCAAGUUGUUUUUUCUUGAUGAAAAUGAUAGCUACCACUUGAUGAGAUUUAGCAAUACAAGCAUUUCCUCUAAUUUUAUUUGUAGGUAAUCCUUUAAGCUCCAAGGAAAUAGCUGAAUGUCACUACCAAAUUAAAUUACCUUUGUACAGAAAAUACGUGGAGUUAUGUGAU